rnacentral:rRNA from 1 species
UACGAAGGGUGCAAGCGUUACUCGGAAUUACUGGGCGUAAAGCGUGCGUAGGUGGUUUGUUAAGUCUGUUGUGAAAGCCCCGGGCUCAACCUGGGAAUGGCAAUGGAUACUGGCAAGCUAGAGUGCGGUAGAGGGUAGUGGAAUUCCCGGUGUAGCGGUGAAAUGCGUUGAUAUCAGGAGGAACACCCAUGGCGAAGGCAGCAUACUGGCCGACCACUGACGCUGAGGCGCGAAAGCGUGGGUAGCAAACAGG